GGUUGGUAGCGCUGCUGGGGAGAUGCCAAAAAACCAAAACAAAACACGUUUUCAUUUUGUCUGCACCAGCCUGGGCGCAGGCGAGCGCGGGAGAGAGGGAGGGAGAGGGAGGCGCACGCCAACAGAAACCCGCCGCGCUCAGACGCGGGCCUGCGGCCACGUCCCUCCGCAGCCGCCCCAGCAGCCGUUCCCGCUCCCUCGUCCCCCUCUCCCUGCCCACCCGGCUUCGCCUGCCAAGUCCGAGUUGGCACAGCUCCCCCGGCUGCGCCGAACAAAGCCGUCACCCAUCCCCGAGCCGGCGCUGACAGUAAGCAAAGUGACAGGCGCAUCUUCCGCAUGUUAAUCCAAACGGCAAGAAGGCGAACGAGCAGCGGAGGCCCCCCCUUGCCAUGCACACACACACCCCCCCUCCACCGACCCACGCACCCCACCCUUGGCACCCAACGGCCCCGAUGGCCUCGUGCCGGGAUGGCGAGGCCCCUGCCGGCGGGAGCACCGAAGCCUCCUCGUCGGCGAGGUUUAAAUCGAGCCGAAGCCCUGCUCGGCGGGCAAACGAGGCCACUCGGCAUCUGCUGUACCUGUUCCCGCUGCCUUCAUCUCGCCUUGGAACCGUGACAAGAGCGCACUCGCCUCUGGUGGGCUCUCAAAGCCGCGGGUCUGUAACCCUUUGCAGGAAGUUGGCACCGAUCCCAGCUCCUGAAUUAUUCCAGUCCACGAGCGGGAGGAGAGCGCACAGUCCAGAGUCCCUCAGAGCUGCCAAGAGCAUUGCAACAGGAAAGAAAGGAAGCGAGAGAGGGAGAGCCAGGCAGAGUCCUCACAAUCGAGCAGCGAGAAGAGCAAGGAGAAAUUAACAUCCAAUUAGUGCCGUGUUUAACGAGGGAGACAGAGGCGGCUGUUGUUUUAUUGCCCUGUUCUUUUCAGGCGCAUCUGACAGGCAGCAGGGAAGGCACCCCUGCUCCGAGUGACGUCAUCAUAUUUUAUUUUUUAAUUAUUUCCCCCCCCCCUCCUCCCCCCACGUCUUUCCUCCUUUAAGUUUCGCCCAGACGAUCUCGGCAACUCGGCCAGGGAAAUUUGGGACUUUCUCGCAUUCAAGCCACCGGCUCCCCCCUUCCACCUCCAGCCUCUCCCCCCCCACUCCGUCCACCGACACCAACCCCGGAAAAAUAGCCGCGCCAACCCACCCCAAAGUCUUUGUUCUUCCAAAUAAAAAAAACAAAAA